GACGAACGCUGGCGGCGUGCUUAACACAUGCAAGUCGAACGAUGAAACCUAGCUUGCUAGGUCGAUUAGUGGCGAACGGGUGAGUAACACGUGACUAACCUGCCCCUUUCUCUGGGAUAACGCUCCGAAAGGAGUGCUAAUACCGGAUACUCACACCGAGGCACAUGCCUUGGUGUGGAAAGUUUUUCGGAAAGGGAUGGAGUCGCGGCCUAUCAGCUUGUUGGUGAGGUAACGGCUCACCAAGGCGACGACGGGUAGCCGGCCUGAGAGGGCGAACGGCCACACUGGGGCGGAGCCACGGCCCAGACUCCUACGGGAGGCAGCAGUGGGGAAUAUUGCACAAUGGGCGAAAGCCUGAUGCAGCGACGCCGCGUGAGGGAUGAAGGUCUUCGGAUUGUAAACCUCUUUCAGUAGGGACGAAGCGAAAGUGACGGUACCUAAAGAAGAAGCACCGGCUAACUACGUGCCAGCAGCCGCCGUAA
rnacentral:rRNA from 1 species